rnacentral:rRNA from 1 species
UACGUAGGGGGCAAGCGUUGUCCGGAGUUACUGGGCGUAAAGCGCACGCAGGCGGUCUUUUAAGUUUGGAGUGACAGUUGGUGGCUUAACUGCCAAAGUGCUUCGAAAACUGAAAGACUUGAGGGCUUCAGAGGGACACGGAAUUCCGGGUGGAGCGGUGAAAUGCGCAGAUAUCAGGAGGAACACCGACGGCGAAGGCAGCUUACUGGGCCGAUACUGACGCUGAGGAGCGAAAGCGUGGGGAGCGAACAGG